UACGUAGGGGGCGAGCGUUAUCCGGAUUUACUGGGCGUAAAGCGCGUUAAGGCGGUUGGCAAAGUUGGUUAUGAAAUCUCAGGGCUCAACCCUGAAAUUGCGACCAAUACUGGUCGACUAGAGUGCAAGAGAGGAAGGUGGAAUUCCCGGUGUAGUAGUGAAAUGCGUAGAUAUCGGGAGGAACACCAGUGGCGAAGGCGGCCUUCUGGCUUGUAACUGACGCUGUAGCGCGAAAGCGUGGGGAGCGAACCGG
rnacentral:rRNA from 1 species